AACACACACUCGCACACUUUUAGAGGAUUUUAAUGAGCUUCCGAAUGAAAACGUUCAUGUUGAAAUGAAAACAAAUCUUUCCUGCAGGAUUUAAAAAAAAAAAAAAAUAAAAAAAUAGGCGGUGGGCAUUCCCUUUUUCUCUCUCUCUCUCACGCUCUCUCUCUGUUACCUCAUGUGUCAGUGUCACGCCGCCAUGUGUCUGGCGGACAGCAGGCGGGUGCUAUGGGAAUGGAAGAGGGGGGUUGCCAUGGGAACCGGAGGAUGGGAUGAUAGUAGAGGAAGGGUGUGAGAAGGCAGCAAGGAGAGGGAUCACUCUCUCUUUUUUGAAGUGUUUUUAAAAUCUUCACUGUAAUUGGGGCAAGAGGUGAAAUAUAUUCUACAGACUCCAUUUUUAGCUUGCCUGUAGGACAUGGAACAAUCACACGUCAGCUCUUUACUCAGCUUGUGACAAAAUGUGCGUGCGUGUGGCUCAGUGCUUGUUUGACAACACACAGACAGCCAAAAGGCUUUUGGAGGUAUCGUUCCUAGCUUUUUUUUUUUUCUUUCUUUCUUUUUAAUCACCGCAACAAGCUUGACAUAUGUUGCUUGGAAAAUUCCAACAUUGCAAGCUGCUGCUGCUGAUGUUGUUGACAGUUCGUCCCCAGAGACGGAAGCUUUUUUGUUGUUUGCUGAUGCGUUUGGUACGCCACCUUGAGCUGCGGGCGUUUUUUUCGAGAUGAGGCGUUGUGUUCCAAAUCCGCAAAGGUCAAAGUAGGGGUCAAGCUAGGUAACACGGCAACAUGUGCCAUUUUUUUAUGUUAUGUAACUUCUACGUGAAGCCUAUUAAUAUGCAAGCACAAAGCUAUGCCCAAAAAAUGCAAAUGGAGGGGCGGCCAUUCACGUAAAACAGUUUUUUCCUCGUCGCACUGUCAGAGGGUUGAGUGUGGUAUUUUUUUUUCCCACUCUUGUUAGCAUUUAGCGCAGUUAUGUAAUGGUGAGUUUGGAUUAAUGAAGCAUAUGAGGGAGGAGAGCUUUUGAAUUCGGGAUGGUUUGACAUUUUUAAAACCAUUUUAAAAUCACUUUAGUUGCCAUAAAUGAAAAUAUCUAACCGCUUUAAUAACUUGCUGAUAAAUUCACGGAAUGCCUUGAAUUCCUGCUAAUACUGUGAUUCUCAACUAGCGGGUCGGAUCUUGUUGCAUCGGAUGUCCUCAUGAACUCGCAAUGUCCUCUUUUUUUUUUUUUUUUCUUGUAAACAAAUCGCCAAUCCACUCAGCGCUUCUGCAUAUGUCUCUUGUAAUUUUUAUGGAAGAUGAUUCCUCGGCGCUUUUAGUGCUACUUGUUCAAAAUAAAUAUUCAUGUGAGUGUAAAAGAGUAAUGUAACACGCAUCUUUCAGCUAGGAUUUGGAUUUUAACUCAGUUGUUGACUAUCAUAAACGGCUUCAAUAUCUUUUUUUUGUUGUUGUUGAAAUAAUAUCACGUUUGUUUUUGGCCUGACGGUAUUGAUCUCCAAGCGUGUGCGUUGUUGUCGUUACCGCCGGCCCCAUAAAGCGCCUCGCUUGUCUCCCGGCCCGCUGGAGGUGGAGAGGAUUUACGAGAGAGAAGAAGCGAGAGAACGCGGUUGAGAGUUAACGACGUAGAGAGGACCAGGGAAGGAAGGAGAUAAGCUAGGGGAGAGUGAUGGCAGCCAUGAUGGAAGUAGAGCCUGAGUCACCUCUUCCUGUUUUGCGUCACAUAGGGAGACAAAGCCACAUUUGCGAUUUUCUCUCACUAGCUUUUUUGCCCUCUUGCACGUUUUUGCUCGCCCUCUCUCUCUCGCCUCUCUCUCUCUCUCUCCACCAUCCCUCGCUCCGCCAUGCGCACUCACCCUCUCGCUGUAAAGCAGCCGCGCGUCGUCCUGGCGCGUGUGUGUCACCGCUGAGCUCAUUCUCUCAUUCUGUCUCCACUCCGGGCAAAAGAUGGCCCUGAGUCAGAGGUAGGAGGUUGAGUAAUCAGCUAAUGUGACCAUGAAGCAAACUGCAGGCAAGAGGCUGCAGGAUGAAGACGAUGAUCUUUUAUUUUGCGUCCAUCUCAUGUCGCUCUACCGGUUUGUGUUACCGGGCAGCGAAUGCAUCAGCAACAUCACGCCAACUCGGAGCCAAUCAUGCGUGUUAGGUUAAUUAUAGACCAAGUUGGCAGUAAUGUGAAUGUCAGUGUUGUGGGAACCAGUCCAGGAAGCUUCGGCUCACCGGCAUUUAAAAAAAAAAAAAAAAAAAUCUGUGUUGUCAUAGAGUUGACACUAUUUAAUAAAACUCAUUGCAGCUCUGCUUACCUAUUAGCUUUGGCAUGAAAGCAGACAUGUCACACCUGACAACACAGACUUGAUUUUUUUUUUAAAAGGAAAACACAUGUUGUGUUUUCUUGUGGAGGGUACGUAUAAAAAUAAAAAUAUAAUCUAAAAAAAAAUAUAUAGAAAUAGAAAUUAAAAAUAAAUUUAUAUAUAUAUAUAUAUAUAUAAAUACAUAUAAAGUAUAAUAUAAUUGCGCAAUAAUUCAUAUUUUCUCAAAGAGAAAAUACUGGAAAACACUAUUUGGGUCAAGUUGCUCUGGGCUUAGAGUGCAAAUGUGUGUGCACUUCAAAGACUUUGUGUUUUCUUACAAAGGUGAACCAAUAUCUUAUUUAUUGUUCAAUGUCAGAAUGUUUUUUGGUAUCUUUGCAUAAAAGGGGACCACACGUGUGUGUGCGUGCAAUAUUACUCACGCUAAAACGGCUAAAGCUAAACGCCGGAAGCAUGAUGGAGAGAGAACGGGAGGAAGUAUGAACAGCGAGCGGUGAAGAAGAAAAGGAACGAGGCGCUGGAGGGACAGACAGGAAAUGAAAGAGGAACGUCUGACCAGCUGGAUGGAGCAUGCUCAUCAUGCAUGUGGGCCGUGAUGGCAAAUGGCUGUCAAAUGUGCUGUGUUCGCUCCCACUCUCUGCCAACGCUGGCAAAGUCACUCAGGAGCUCAUUAAUUUCUAUUUUCUAACUCCCCUCUAAUAUGUCGGGACGUGGAGACGGACGGCCAUGGGAGAGCCGGAGGAUGAAGAGCUUGUGCUUGGUCAGCUUUGCUUAUUGGUUACUGGGCUUACCUGCAGCUGCUCCACUGAGCUCUGCCAAAUAUGUGAGACUCAAGUCUGAUUUUGCUGUUUAUUUUUGAGAAAAAGCUAAAAAAUAAGGUUUUCUUGAUGAAUGUCACGUAAUCUAAAGAUGACUGGGCCAACUUGACUAUUCCAAGUAUUUUAAUUUAAGAGGGCGCGAUUCUUAUCUCUUUUUUUAUUAAAGUAAUUUGUUAUAUCAUCUAAAAUUCUACUGUCAUAAUGAAAGCGUUGGCUUUAACUAAUUGCUUUGGUUAUAAUUCAAAAUGAGCUUGCCGUCUGCGCCAGCUA